GCCUCUGGGGGGGUGGGGAAACCACAGUACUGUCAUUAUAGAGAUCCUAGCUUCUAAGGAUGGCCAUCUGUCAUGGAUGCUUUAGCUGAGAUUCCUGCAUUGCAGGGGGUUGGGCUAGAUGGCCCUUGGGUCCCUUCCAGCUAGGAUAAGAGCAGGCCGCACACCUGCUGCUGCACUCAAGGACUCUUCGCACUCACUGUUCAUUGCCAUUGACACCUCAACAGUACUAAUCAUCCAUUGGGCAAGGAAGAAAUGGCUUCUGGAUUGAAUUCUCAGUCCCAGGUGACCAACAAUGGAUUGAAAGAUUGCAGUGAACCUGCUUUCGCUUUGAGCUUAUUUACACAUUACAGUCAUAGUGAGUGAGGCAGAGGCCAGUCACUCUCGGAUGUUUCCAAGGCUGAAGACCACCAGCCACCUUCCCUCUCAACAGGGAGAGAAGGCUAGAGAGAUACUUGAAGCACUUGCUUGUCCCUUUUCUUUGACAAUGGGAGAUUUUUGCUUUCUGUUGAUGAAACUCCUUCCAAGCGGGAAAGGGGGACUGCCGGUAUGGCUCUAGGCUAGGUUUUUCAGGAGCAAAGUGCUGAUUUACACAUUUCAAAAAUCUGAUAAUGAAGGAAGGAAUAGCGUAGGAAUGAUGCAUCAAUGGGGAGAUCAGACGUUUAGCAAGAGAUUCACUUGUUUGCUAAACAAAUUAAGUAGUUGCCACACUCAGAGGUUUUACAUGCCAUCAGCUCAAACACAAUCCUUUUUUUAGUGAAGUGCAUUCAGCUGCGAAACAUCUAAUAAUAAAUUAUCAAAUGAUGAGGCACCCAGUGAUGAAUCCCAAGUGUUAAAAGCUGGAUAUUGUUGUAAAAGGAAAUUUUAUAGUUAUACCAUGUCUUUUGUAGAAGACUGGUGAUCAAAAUGAAAAAAUUGGUGUAUGCAGUAAUUUGAACCAGAAUUAGAAAAGUCCAGAAUACUUCUGCAGUGUUGGCAAACUGCUGAUAGGUGGAUGUUUCUGCUGCUAACAACUUUUAGUAAAAGUGUGUUUUGUUCUGGUGAAGCCUUUGGCAUCCAAUAGCUGAGCUACUGUGAUGACACUGAAUGUACAUGAACACCCCCAAGUAUGCACAGAGCGAAGCUAUCAUAGCUUUCAGUCUCUAUUCUGUGAGGGAAGGGAAGAUUGUCAGUUCAGCUGGGACUAACUCUUACACAGAUCGAAGAGCUGGUAGCAUUGCGGAGGAAACAGAGAACUAGAAGAAGAGUUAAUAAAGGAGGCAGACUUGAGUUCACAUUAAUUUGAACCAACUGGCCAAUUAUUUAAUUAGAGGCUUUUCAUCUAGUGGCAUGUGCUUUCUAUUUCCAAUGUCUCUACUGGUAAGGGGUUACACAGUUUUACUCAGGUACAGAAAUAUUUCAAUUUGUAGUUAAAUCUCCAAAGCUGUAGCUCAUUCUGUUAAUGUGCUUUACUCAAAUGAAAGUUACAACUGAAAGUUCAAAUAUAUGUGGUGUAACAGAUUAUGGGGACGCUGAGGACAUCUGUCCCAUUCUGUGAACAGGCCUUGGAACAGAUGUCUCAAAUUUCUUCGAAUUCAGAACAUGCUGUCCUUUUUUUUAAAGAGAUGAACAGCAUCUCUUCUCCUUGUCAUCAACCACCAAAGUAUUUUCUUUAAUACAUAAUAUGUAAAUUCUCAAAGCAUCAUUUUGCUCUUUAGUGAGUUUAGAUAUUACAAAAUGGUUUAAUUAUAAAAACAGACAGACCUAGUCCUGGGACCUGUGUAGCUAGAAAUAAAUGUGCAAUCAAAACUGCAAUUACCUGCAGAAUUUAGUGUAAACAGAUCAGCAAUCACAUAACAAACACAGGCUAGUUUGCAUUCUGAUAUGAAUAUAGUUAGAUCCAAAGCAAUUUUCCUUUAUUUAUCUUAGCUGCUCAGCAUAAAUAAAGCAAGGGCAUUGAAGCAAUUAGCAUAAUUAGAGUAUCGUGGUCAGGCCCUGUGUGAUUUCCAGAGACGUUUCACUUUAGAAUUCUUUUUCCCCUACAAGAGUUUCCCUGAGCCACUAAAACAUCGCUCUGGGCAUUUUUGUAUUUCAAAUUUGCAAGUUGUCAGUUUGAAAAACCCUUGACACAUGGAUGUGAAAGCAUCUCACAGACAACCACAGAAGGUAUACCCUCCGCUUUUCAUUAUGAAGAAGCAGGGGAAUUUCCCUUUUCAGCUCUUUCUUCUGUUUGGCAUUUAACCCUAGAAAUGUCAGAUGUAAUUAUCUCAACUAACAUGGAAGAUACAAGGGUUAAAAGGAACCUGAUUUUUUUUUUUUUUUUGUAGUUGUAGUUCAGGAAUCUGUUUUUGCAAAAAUUGCCAUUAGUCCUCCUUGAUGUGUUAGUUUUGUGUUUAUUCACUGUCCCAGACAACAAUGUUUUACAUCUGAUGCAAGCUUAGAUAAUAAAUUAUUGUGAUUAUGAUUAUUAUUCAUGGUUAUUAUUAUUAUUAUUUCAGGAUCCUGCAAUUUAUUUUCCAAGUGUACUCUUGUGACUUGACUUAGCGUAAACCUUUUGACUCUAAAGUCACUCUUGCUGGGGUCAGUGAGAUUUACUUCUGAGUAAUUGUGCAAAAAAAUUGCAGGCUUAGGGCUGAAUCACGAAUGAAUGUGUAUUAUUUUUACGAUUGCUGCAACAAUCAGAAGAUUAACAGACCUGAAUUAGCAGAAUUUUCAAAAUACUUCAAAUAUAUUGAGUUAGAGCCACACCCUGGUCUCAGCCAUUUUUUCUUUUAAGAAUUAUUAACCUUGUUCAGUUGGUAGAACAUGAGAUUCUUAGCAUUAGGGUCGUGAGAUUGAUCCCCAUGUUGGGCAAAAAGAUUCCUGCAUUGCAGGGUGGUUGGACUAGGUGACCUUCAUGGCGCCUUCCAACUCUACAAGUCUAUGACUCCGUCAUCUCCCCUAACUCUCCUUGUCCUUUGUUGGUCUGUUAAGGCAGGAGAGAGAAAGCUUGAAAUCACCACAAUCUGCUAGAACAGUAUGGGAAACCAAUGAGCUUCCACAUGUUUUGGAACUCCAACUCUCAUCAGUCCCAGCCAGCAUGACCAAAGGUCAUGGAUGAUGGAGUUGUAGCCCAAUGAAUAUCUGAAGAGGCUCAGGUUCCCCAUCUUUUUCACAUCUGUCAUCCACUACCUCCACUGUCAGAGGCAGCAGUUGUGGGAAAUUGCAGGUGGGUUGAGUGCAUAUUCUGCUUAUAGGCUUCCUGUGGGUAUCUGGUUGUCCACUGUGAAAACAGGUUGUUGGACUAGGUGGAACUUUGGUCUGAUCUAGCAGGGUUUUUUUUAUCUUGGGAUCUAUGUGAUCUCCCCCUUCCUUUUGUGAAUAAUGUGCAUAUUAUUCUGUCUCCAGACCUGGCCAUUAAUUUCUUAACACAUCUUAAUAACUGCAAAUAUGCAACUACGUCAAUUAAUUAUACUAAGAGAGCAACAUGAAGAAAAAAAGAACAAACCUUUCUAGAACCACAUUUUCUCACAAGAGAUUGAGCUUGAUAGCUGGAACAGCAGGGACACCCAUAUGACAACUAUUGACAUGGGCUUAUGGCAUGGGCAGUUUCUGAAAUCGCAAGAUAUCAAAGUAUAUUAUACCAGUGUUUCCCAAAGUGGGCGAUAUUGCUCUCUGGAAUGAUCCAGGGGAGUGAUACUAGUCUCAGGUGCAAUGGGGGGGGGGACAUUGAAUAAAAAUAAGGGGGCGAUGGAAGCAU